AGAGUUUGAUCCUGGCUCAGAACGAACGCUGGCGGCAGGCUUAACACAUGCAAGUCGAACGCCCCGCAAGGGGAGUGGCAGACGGGUGAGUAACGCGUGGGAAUCUACCCAUCUCUACGGGAUAGCUCCGGGAAACUGGAAUUAAUACCGUAUACGUCCUGAGGGAGAAAGAUUUAUCGGGGAUGGAUGAGCCCGCGUUGGAUUAGCUAGUUGGUGGGGUAAAGGCCUACCAAGGCGACGAUCCAUAGCUGGUCUGAGAGGAUGACCAGCCACAUUGGGACUGAGACACGGCCCAAACUCCUACGGGAGGCAGCAGUGGGGAAUAUUGGACAAUGGGCGCAAGCCUGAUCCAGCCAUGCCGCGUGAGUGAUGAAGGUCUUAGGAUUGUAAAGCUCUUUCAGUGGGGACGAUAAUGACGGUACCCACAGAAGAAGCCCCGGCUAACUUCGUGCCAGCAGCCGCGGUAAUACGAAGGGGGCUAGCGUUGUUCGGAAUUACUGGGCGUAAAGCGCACGUAGGCGGAUACUUAAGUCGGGGGUGAAAUCCCGGGGCUCAACCCCGGAACUGCCUUCGAUACUGGGUAUCUUGAGUUCGGAAGAGGUGAGUGGAAUUGCGAGUGUAGAGGUGAAAUUCGUAGAUAUUCGCAGGAACACCAGUGGCGAAGGCGGCUCACUGGUCCGAUACUGACGCUGAGGUGCGAAAGCGUGGGGAGCAAACAGGAUUAGAUACCCNNGUAGUCC
rnacentral:rRNA from 1 species